ACGGGAGGCAGCAGUCGGGAAUAUUGCGCAAUGGAGGAAACUCUGACGCAGUGACGCCGCGUAUAGGAAGAAGGUUUUCGGAUUGUAAACUAUUGUCGACAGGGAAGAAAAAAGACUGUACCUGUCAAGAAAGCUCCGGCUAACUACGUGCCAGCAGCCGCGGUAAUACGUAGGGAGCAAGCGUUAUCCGGAAUUAUUGGGUGUAAAGGGUGCGUAGACGGGAUAACAAGUUGGUUGUGAAAUACCUCGGCUCAACUGAGGAACUGCAACCAAAACUAUUAUUCUUGAGUGCAGGAGAGGAAAGUGGAAUUCCUAGUGUAGCGGUGAAAUGCGUAGAUAUUAGGAAGAACAUCGGUGGCGAAGGCGACUUUCUGGACUGUAACUGACGUUGAGGCACGAAAGUGUGGGGAGCAAACAGGAUUAGAUACCCUGGUA
rnacentral:rRNA from 1 species